AUUGAACGCUGGCGGCAUGCUUUACACAUGCAAGUCGAACGGCAGCGCGGGCUUCGGCCUGGCGGCGAGUGGCGAACGGGUGAGUAAUGCAUCGGAACGUGCCCAGUAGUGGGGGAUAGCCCGGCGAAAGCCGGAUUAAUACCGCAUACGACCUGAGGGUGAAAGCGGGGGACCGAAAGGCCUCGCGCUAUUGGAGCGGCCGAUGUCGGAUUAGCUAGUUGGUGGGGUAAAGGCUUACCAAGGCGACGAUCCGUAGCUGGUCUGAGAGAACGACCAGCCACACUGGGACUGAGACACGGCCCAGACUCCUACGGGAGGCAGCAGUGGGGAAUUUUGGACAAUGGGGGCAACCCUGAUCCAGCCAUGCCGCGUGCGGGAAGAAGGCCUUCGGGUUGUAAACCGCUUUUGUUCGGGAAGAAAUCCUCUGGGCUAAUACCCCGGGGGGAUGACGGUACCGGAAGAAUAAGCACCGGCUAACUACGUG
rnacentral:rRNA from 1 species